rnacentral:pre_miRNA from 1 species
UCCGUCAAGCGCCUCCCGCGCGCUCGCGACGGUGCCCCGCGCACGGGAGGCGCUUGACGAAUC